CCUACGGGAGGCAGCAGUAGGGAAUAUUGGGCAAUGGAGACAACUCUGACCCAGCCAUGCCGCGUGCGGAAGACGGCCUUCUGGGUUGUAAACUGCUUUUGAUCGGGAACAAAGAGCCCUUGCGAGGGAAGUUGAGUGUACCGAUAGAAUAAGCACCGGCUAACUCCGUGCCAGCAGCCGCGGUAAUACGGAGGGUGCAAGCGUUGUCCGGAUUUAUUGGGUUUAAAGGGUGCGUAGGCGGCUUUUUAAGUCAGUGGUGAAAUCCUACAGCUUAACUGUNGAACAGCCAUUGAUACUGAAGAGCUUGAGUACAGACGAGGUAGGCGGAAUUUAUGGUGUGCGGUGAAAUGCAUAGAUACCAUAAAGAACUCCUAUUGCGAAGGCAGCUUACUAGGCUGUAACUGACGCUGAGGCACGAAAGCGUGGGGAUCAAACAGGAUUAGAUAUGGUAGUCCACGCCGUAAACGAUGAUUACUCGAUGUUCGCGAUAUACAGUGAGCGUCCAAGCGAAAGCGUUAAGUAAUCCACCUGGGAAGUACGAUCGCAAGAUUGAAACUCAAAGGAAUUGACGG
rnacentral:rRNA from 1 species